ACUCCUACGGGAGGCAGCAGUGGGGAAUAUUGGACAAUGGGGGGAACCCUGAUCCAGCCAUGCCGCGUGUGUGAAGAAGGCCUUAUGGUUGUAAAGCACUUUAAGCGAGGAGGAGGCUACUGAGACUAAUACUCUUGGAUAGUGGACGUUACUCGCAGAAUAAGCACCGGCUAACUCUGUGCCAGCAGCCGCGGUAAUACAGAGGGUGCGAGCGUUAAUCGGAUUUACUGGGCGUAAAGCGUGCGUAGGCGGCUUUUUAAGUCGGAUGUGAAAUCCCCGAGCUUAACUUGGGAAUUGCAUUCGAUACUGGGAAGCUAGAGUAUGGGAGAGGAUGGUAGAAUUCCAGGUGUAGCGGUGAAAUGCGUAGAGAUCUGGAGGAAUACCGAUGGCGAAGGCAGCCAUCUGGCCUAAUACUGACGCUGAGGUACGAAAGCAUGGGGAGCAAACAGGAUUAGAUACCCUGGUAGUCCAUGCCGUAAACGAUGUCUACUAGCCGUUGGGGCCUUUGAGGCUUUAGUGGCGCAGCUAACGCGAUAAGUAGACCGCCUGGGGAGUACGGUCGCAAGACUAAAACUCAAAGGAAUUGACGG
rnacentral:rRNA from 1 species